UACGUAGGGGGCAAGCGUUGUCCGGAUUUAUUGGGCGUAAAGAGCGUGUAGGCGGCCUGGAAGGUCAGCUGUGAAAACUCGAGGCUCAACCUCGAGACGUCGGUUGAAACCACCGUGGCUAGAGUCCGGAAGAGGAGUGUGGAAUUCCCGGUGUAGCGGUGGAAUGCGCAGAUAGUCGGGAGGAACACCCCGUGGCGAAGGCGGCCUGCUGGGCAGUGGCUGACGCUGAGGCGCGACGCGUGGG
rnacentral:rRNA from 1 species